rnacentral:rRNA from 1 species
UGGGGAAUUUUGGACAAUGGGCGAAAGCCUGAUCCAGCAAUGCCGCGUGUGUGAAGAAGGCCUUCGGGUUGUAAAGCACUUUUGUCCGGAAAGAAAUCCUUGGCUCUAAUACAGUCGGGGGAUGACGGUACCGGAAGAAUAAGCACCGGCUAACUACGUGCCAGCAGCCGCGGUAAUACGUAGGGUGCAAGCGUUAAUCGGAAUUACUGGGCGUAAAGCGUGCGCAGGCGGUUUGCUAAGACCGAUGUGAAAUCCCCGGGCUCAACCUGGGAACUGCAUUGGUGACUGGCAGGCUAGAGUAUGGCAGAGGGGGGUAGAAUUCCACGUGUAGCAGUGAAAUGCGUAGAGACGUGGAGGAAUACCGAUGGCGAAGGCAGCCCCCUGGGCCAAUACUGACGCUCAUGCACGAAAGCGUGGGGAGCAAACAGGAUUAGAUACCCUGGUAGUCCACGCCCUAAACGAUGUCAACUAGUUGUUGGGGAUUCAUUUCCUUAGUAACGUAGCUAACGCGUGAAGUUGACCGCCUGGGGAGUACGGUCGCAAGAUUAAAACUUAAAGGAAUUGACGGGGUCAUAGCUGUUUCCU